rnacentral:misc_RNA from 1 species
AUGCCAGUCCAUCGGCUCACAACUUCAGCAAUAUGUUCUGGUUUAACUGUUUCUGUCAACAUCAAGUUCUCAUCUGUGCUUCCUUCAAGCCUAGCAAUGGCAGCAUCAACUUCCUCCAAUGCUCCAUAACGCAAAUCCGCGACUCUAGCUAAAUCAUAUCUUCUUUCUGCCUCUUGUAUUGCGAACUGUAUCUCCUCUUUCUUCUGCUUGAGACGCCUGAUUUCAUCAAUCCUCUCCUUUUCUCUUUUGUAUUUCAUCAUCAGAGGCUGAAGCUUGUCUCUCAAGUCAUCAAGUUCUUUCACCACCUCAGCAAGCCGAGCUUUGCUGGCUUUGUCCUUCUCCUUCUCAAGCGCAUGGAGUUCCACUUCUAGCUGGAUUUUCUUCCUCUCCAGAUUAUCAAUUUCUUCUGGCUGACUAUCAAGUUGGACUCUUACAUUUGCACAGGCUUCAUCAACUAAAUCAAUUGCCUUAUCAGGCAGAUGACGACCAGUAAUAUAUCGACUUGACAACUGUGCUGCAACUACAAGAGCUCGAUCUAGAAUUCGAACACCAUGAUGACCCUCAUACUUCUCUUUCAAACCUCGAAGAAUGUUAAUUGUGUCCGUAACACUAGGUUCUGCAACAUAAACUUGCUGGAACCUUCUCUCAAAUGCAGCAUCUUUCUCUACAUACUUUCUGUACUCUUCUAGUGUUGUUGCACCAAUGCACCUAAGCUGACCUCUAGCAAGCAUGGGCUUGAAAAGAUUAGCAGCAUCCAUUGACCCCUCUGUUCGACCAGCUCCAAGAACAAGAUGUAUCUCAUCGAUAAAUAGUAUCACUUUCCCUUCAGCCUCUUCCACUUCCUUCAAGACGGCCUUCAACCGCUCCUCAAAUUCUCCUCUAUAUUUUGCCCCAGCAACUAAGGCACCCAUAUCCAGUGCAAUAAGCCUCACAUCAGUAAGGUUAUUUGGCACGUCUCCUCUCACAAUCCUUUGAGCCAAGCCUUCUACCACAGCAGUUUUACCAACUCCAGGCUCACCAAUAAGAACUGGGUUGUUUUUGGUUCUCCGUGAUAAAAUCCUUAUAACUCUCCUGAUCUCUUCAUCUCUUCCAAUGACAGGGUCAAGCUUUCCAGCUUGUUCCACAAGAUCUCUCCCAUAAGUCUUCAAGGCUUGAAAUGUACUAUCUCCAGAGGCGCUCUCUACCUUUUUCCCUUCCUUGCCUCGAAGUUUCUGAACCUCAGAUUUUACUUUUGCAGCAGCUAUUCCCGCUUCUUUCAACAAGUCCCCUAUUUGGGAAUCCUCAAGAAGACCUAAGAUGAUCUGAUCAACAGCUAAAUGGGUGUCACCUUGUGUUUUUUGUAAUGCUUGGGCACGCCUUAUCACUUUAAUAAGACUAGUACUCGGUGGAACUUCAUCAGGAGGUGGAGAUUGAGAUGGGAGCUUUUUCAUGGCGUUAUUGAACACUCUUUGUGCUGCCUGGGAAGCAGAUUCACCCCCAGCAUUGGAGAUUGCCAGGCUAAAGAUUCCACUAGAUUCUGAAAUCAGAGCAACAGCAAGAUGAAGAGGGGUUAUCUGGGCAUGACCAGCACUGAUUGCCAGCUCAUGAGCCGAAGCAAGAGCCUCAUUCGUCUUGUGGGUAAAUUUUCCCGGAUCCAUUCCUUGGAGUUUCCACUACCUAAUAAAAUCUCAGCAACUAGAAACGAAACGAAACUGACAGCUGGAAGAAAUACUUCGAUUACAAACCGAGAGCGUUAGUAAUAUAGAUGAUAUACAGAAGUGCCUGAAAUAAAGAUCUGAUUUCGUCUCUUGGAUUUGAUUGCAGAGUGAAGGAAGAAAAAGGAGGAAGCGGGCUCUAUAUACGAGAGAAAUGAAGACAUCUGGAAGGA